rnacentral:rRNA from 1 species
GACGAACGCUGGCGGCGUGCCUAAUACAUGCAAGUAGAACGCUGAAGGAGGAGCUUGCUUCUCUGGAUGAGUUGCGAACGGGUGAGUAACGCGUAGGUAACCUGCCUGGUAGCGGGGGAUAACUAUUGGAAACGAUAGCUAAUACCGCAUAAGAGUAGAUGUUGCAUGACAUUUGCUUAAAAGGUGCAAUUGCAUCACUACCAGAUGGACCUGCGUUGUAUUAUCUAGUUGGUGGGGUAACGGCUCACCAAGGCGACGAUACAUAGCCGACCUGAGAGGGUGAUCGGCCACACUUGGACUGAGACACCGCCCAGACUCCUAAGGGAGGCAGAAGUAGGGAAUCUUCGGCAAUGGACGGAAGUCUGACCGAGCAACGCCGCGGGAGGGAAGAAGGUUUUCGGAUCGUAAAGCUCUGUUGUAAGAGAAGAACGAGUGUGAGAGUGGAAAGUUCACACUGUGACGGUAUCUUACCAGAAAGGGACGGCUAACUACGUG